CUGUUGGUGGAUGAGUGGCGAACGGGUGAGUAACACGUGAGUAACCUGCCCCUGAUUUCGGGAUAAGCCUGGGAAACUGGGUCUAAUACCGGAUAUGACCAAUCCUUGCAUGAGGGUUGGUGGAAAGUUUUUCGAUCGGGGAUGGGCUCGCGGCCUAUCAGCUUGUUGGUGGGGUAAUGGCCUACCAAGGCGACGACGGGUAGCCGGCCUGAGAGGGCGACCGGCCACACUGGGACUGAGACACGGCCCAGACUCCUACGGGAGGCAGCAGUGGGGAAUAUUGCACAAUGGGGGAAACCCUGAUGCAGCGACGCAGCGUGCGGGAUGACGGCCUUCGGGUUGUAAACCGCUUUCAGCAGGGAAGAAGCGAAAGUGACGGUACCUGCAGAAGAAGUACCGGCUAACUACGUGCCAGCAGCCGCGGUAAUACGUAGGGUACGAGCGUUGUCCGGAAUUAUUGGGCGUAAAGAGCUCGUAGGUGGUUGGUCACGUCUGCUGUGGAAACGCAACGCUUAACGUUGCGCGUGCAGUGGGUACGGGCUGACUAGAGUGCAGUAGGGGAGUCUGGAAUUCCUGGUGUAGCGGUGAAAUGCGCAGAUAUCAGGAGGAACACCGGUGGCGAAGGCGGGACUCUGGGCUGUAACUGACACUGAGGAGCGAAAGCAUGGGGAGCGAACAGGAUUAGAUACCCUGGUAGUCCAUGCCGUAAACGUUGGGCACUAGGUGUGGGGGACAUUCCACGUUCUCCGC
rnacentral:rRNA from 1 species